rnacentral:lncRNA from 1 species
CAUAUAUCUUCCAAAUAUAGCAAAAUACGAUGAUUAACUAUCCUACUCAGCUGCAGCAGCCUCCUGGCCAACCACGGCCUCCUCACCCUCAGCAGGCCUCUCAAGCUUGACACCGACAUCCUCCUUGGUAUAGUCACCAUGGACCUGCAAAGCAAUAUUAAGUGUUAGAAUGACAGGCCACAGAAAGGCCGAAAAAAACAUGAUAGCUCUGUCACUAGGAAUUACCUCCAUUAGCUUCCCGAGGUCAAACUUGGGGGCCUUGAGGAUCUUGACCUUCCGGAUAAAAACAUUCUGCAGUGGGAAGAUGCUUGAGGUAGCCUUUUCAAUUUCCUUACCAAUGACCUCAGGAAUAAACUUAGACACCAACUCCUUCAGGUCACAGGUAGAGGCCUGGUUGGCCAUGAUCUCAACCAUCUUCCG